CAGCCGCCGCGGGAAUACAGAGGGUGCGAGCGUUAAUCGGAUUUACUGGGCGUAAAGCGUGCGUAGGCGGCUUCUUAAGUCGGAUGUGAAAUCCCUGAGCUUAACUUAGGAAUUGCAUUCGAUACUGGGAAGCUAGAGUAUGGGAGAGGAUGGUAGAAUUCCAGGUGUAGCGGUGAAAUGCGUAGAGAUCUGGAGGAAUAUUGAUGGCGAAGGCAGCCAUCUGGCCUAAUACUGACGCUGAGGUACGAAAGCAUGGGGAGCAAACAGGAUUAGAGACCCCCGUAGUCCCUGUCUCUUAUAC
rnacentral:rRNA from 1 species